CUUUAAAUAUACAGAUCUCUCUUCCAGAUAGUUUAAAGCUUAUGAGCACAUUUUAAAUACCACUGUGAAGCUUGGUGACUGAGGAUUACCAGACUGACACCCACUGUCUACUGGUGAUGGCCAGUGGAAUGAAAGGUUACCUGAUGAAGACUUUCUCAAGCCCAGAUCCUGUGUUCACUGUUAAGAUAAACCCUAAAAAUAUACCUCCCACUCUUAAUCUUCUUAGAGGCAUGCAGCAGGGCUGGAGUCCGUGUUCACCUCGGACUGCUUGGCGGACUCUCUGGACAAAAUGAGCAUGUCCAAUCUCCUGAACCUGAACAGCCUGGGCCGAAUCUGCGGAUCGAGCCACAGCAGUGACAUGGUGGUACUGGAUCGGGUCAAGAGGAAGAACUCAGUGCGGCGGAUGUCCAUCAUUGAAGAUGGCCAGAUUGCAGAAGUGCUCUACC